rnacentral:rRNA from 1 species
UACGUGAGGGGCGAACGUUGUUCGGUGUCACUGGGCUUAAAGGGCGCGUAGGUGGUUACGUAAGUAAGGUGUGAAAUCCCUCGGCUUACCCGGGGAAUUGCGCCUUAUACUGCGUGACUUGAGGGCCAUAGGGGAACGGGGAACUCCAGGUGUAGCGGUGAAAUGCGCAGAUAUCUGGGGGAAGGCCGGCGGCGAAGGCGCCGUUCUGGAUGGUACCUGACACUGAGGCGCGAAAGCGUGGGGAGCAAACAGG